rnacentral:rRNA from 1 species
UACGUAGGGCGCAAGCGUUGUCCGGAAUUAUUGGGCGUAAAGAGCUCGUAGGCGGCUUGUCACGUCGAUUGUGAAAGCCCGAGGCUUAACCUCGGGUCUGCAGUCGAUACGGGCUAGCUAGAGUGUGGUAGGGGAGAUCGGAAUUCCUGGUGUAGCGGUGAAAUGCGCAGAUAUCAGGAGGAACACCGGUGGCGAAGGCGGAUCUCUGGGCCGAUACUGACGCUGAGGGGCGAAAAGCGUGGGGAGCGAACAGGA